CUUUAAAUCGGAGCAAGCAACUGUACACACAUACUGGGGGCUCCAAAACCUUGGCAAGAAAAAAAGACGAAGUGGAGAGAGAGCAAGGAAGGCCCGUUGGUAGAGGAGAGUUGUUUAUCAUGACUCAUAA